UACGUAGGCAGCGAGCGUUGUUCGGAAUUAUUGGGCGUAAAGGGCGCGUAGGCGGUGCUGUAAGUCUGUAGUGAAAUCUCUGGGCUCAACUCAGAGUCUGCUAUAGAAACUGCAGUGCUGGAGUGUGGGAGAGGUGAGUGGAAUUCCCGGUGUAGCGGUGAAAUGCGCAGAUAUCGGGAGGAACACCGGUGGCGAAGGCGGUUCUCUGGGCCUGUACUGACGCUGAGGAGCGAAAGCGUGGGGAGCGAACAGG
rnacentral:rRNA from 1 species